rnacentral:rRNA from 1 species
GACGAACGCUGGCGGCGUGCCUAAUACAUGCAAGUCGAACGAGUGGCGGACGGGUGAGUAAUGUCUGGGAAACUGCCUGCUGGAGGGGGAUAACUACUGGAAACGGUAGCUAAUACCGCAUACCAUCGGAUGUGCCCAGAUGGGUUUAGCUAGUAGGUGGGGUAAAGGCUCACCUAGGCGCCGAUCACUCGCUGGUCUGAGAGGAUGCCCAGCCAAACGGAACUGAGACACGGUCCAGACUCCUACGGGAGGCAGCAGUAGGGAAUAUUGCACAAUGGGCGCAAGCCUGAUGCAGCCAUGCCGCGUGAAUGAAGAAGGUCUUCGGUUUGUAAAGUACUUUCAGCGGGGAGGCGUUACCCGCAGAGGAAGCCCCGGCUAACUCCGUGCCAGCAGCCGCGGUAAUUC